UGAACACUGUAACUUUCUGUGGAUGAAAUUACUGCCACAGCAGUGAGAAGAAGACCUUUAGAAGACUUACUUGUUCACAGCUGAUAGUAUUUCCAGAAUGAAAGACAGGCUCUGGAGAAAAAGGCAGCACCUUCGAAUCUGAAACAGGAACAUCAAAGACUGUCAUCAAAGAGACAGGCUCUUCAAGAAGAACAAAAAGAGACGAAUCACCAAUCACAUCAGAGGGCUGAGCUGAGCAAGUGAAGGACUGGAAAGACAUAUUCUCCCUCAGGAUUUGCAGGGGCUCCACUGCAAGUCGUGCAUCUACAACAGCCUCUGGCCAUUUUAAAACCGUGAACCAUAGGGCUGAAAAACCGCAAACAAAUGUGACUACAGAAAACUGGACAGUCUUCUAGCUGUUAAAAAGGCACUGAGG
ensembl:lncRNA